rnacentral:rRNA from 1 species
GCUAUGGGACUGAAUAUCCUAAAUGUACCAGAUCCCAUCUGAUCUUGGAAGCAAAAUAGGGACAGCUCGGGUUAACAUUAGAUGGGAGACCAUCAAUGAAUAUCAGGUGUUGUUGGCU